AUUGAAACACCAAUUCUCAUAAAAUCACCAAAGUUAAGCAAUGUCAAGCCUGGUCAGUACCUUGAUGGGUGACCACUUGUAAAUAUCAGGUGCUGUAAG